GCAGUUUGUGGAAGAGCGGAGCAAUGGUUCUAUGGACGACCAAAUAACCACUGUGAACGUUCCCCUUUUGAGCGCCGCGUACAGCAAUCGAUUCUCUCGAAAAUUAAUCAAGGACAACUUGAAUUCCUUUAUCGAUGAAUCCAACAGCACCGUCUUCAUCACAAAAACGGCCGACGAGUUCAUUUUCAAGGGCUACUCGGAUGUCGGAUCCCUUCCUGGACGCACGAGCUCAGCUGCCGCCAGGAUUGCUUGACAUUCCAUCGUACGACAAGUUCGGCUAGUUCUAUGGACGGAACGGGUCGGAGUCAUUUGAUGGCGUCUUCAAUAUAUUCACCGGUGUCGAUGACAUCAGAAAUUAACUCGACGUAAUGGACAUGUGGAACUACACCCGACAGAC